CUCCCAGCCCAAGUGAGAGGCUCGCCUCCACCUCGGAGCUAGAGCUCCCGGGUCUUUAACGUUCUAGGCUUUUCCUUACAAAAGUAGAAAGGUCCAAGCUGGCCUUACCUCUGGGGCUGCUUUCCUAACUCAUUAGAGGGUGACACAGCUAAUGGAAAUUACUCACACUAUGCAAGGUAGAAGGUAUAUUGAGAUUAUAUUUGCAGCAAUCCGAAAUUUCAUAAAAAGGAAAAACUUCUACUAGUAUCUGAAAACCUGCCACGGCGAGACCAUUGUCAACGGCCAGGUAGUGUGGGUCCAACAGUUAGUGCCAAACAGCCCAAGGAAGACUACAAUGAUGGCCGCUUGAAUCCCUCUAACUCCUCCCUGUGUCCACUCCCUGGAGAAGCUUGCAACUGAAAAGGAAAGAAGGACCUGAAACCCAGAGCCUCUCUCUCUGUUGAUGAAUCUGCACUGAGGAAAGCCCAGCUGAGGACACAGCAAGGAGGCAGCCAUCUGCAAGCCUGAAAGAGUCCUCACCAGAAAUUGAGCCCUGUUGGACCUUGACCUUGCACUUCCAUCUUUCAGAACUGUGAGAAAAUAAAUUUCUGCUGUUUAAACCAA